rnacentral:rRNA from 1 species
UACGUAGGGUGCGAGCGUUAAUCGGAAUUACUGGGCGUAAAGCGUGCGCAGGCGGUUUUGUAAGCCAGAUGUGAAAGCCCCGGGCUUAACCUGGGAAUGGCAUUUGGGACUGCAAGGCUUGAGUGCGGCAGAGGAGACUGGAAUUCCUGGUGUAGCAGUGAAAUGCGUAGAUAUCAGGAGGAAUACCGAUGGCGAAGGCAGCCUUCUGGGCCAACACUGACGCUCAUGCACGAAAGCGUGGGGAGCAAACAGG